rnacentral:rRNA from 1 species
GAUGAACGCUGGCGGCGUGGCUAAUACAUGCGAGUCGAGCGAACAGACGAGGAGCUUGCUCCUCUGACGUUAGCGGCGGACGGGUGAGUAACACGUGGAUAACCUACCUAUAAGACUGGGAUAACUUCGGGAAACCGGAGCUAAUACCGGAUAAUAUAUUGAACCGCAUGGUUCAAUAGUGAAAGACGGUUUUGCUGUCACUUAUAGAUGGAUCCGCGCCGCAUUAGCUAGUUGGUAAGGUAACGGCUUACCAAGGCGACGAUGCGUAGCCGACCUGAGAGGGUGAUCGGCCACACUGGAACUGAGACACGGUCCAGACUCCUACGGGAGGCAGCAGUAGGGAAUCUUCCGCAAUGGGCGAAAGCCUGACGGAGCAACGCCGCGUGAGUGAUGAAGGUCUUCGGAUCGUAAAACUCUGUUAUUAGGGAAGAACAAAUGUGUAAGUAACUAUGCACGUCUUGACGGUACCUAAUCAGAAAGCCACGGCUAACUACGUG